CAAGGGUUGUUUGAAAUCUAAAGUAAAUCAAUCGUAAUAAGGGUGGCUAGAAAGAUAAACAACAACAUACAGUGUGUGUAUGUUCAUUUAUUAACAGAUAUUACGAUGUUGGGAAUAAAGACUGCCAGUUAUAUUAAGAUUUUAGCAGAAGACUAGGACAUGUGGAUUUUAUUAUCUGCCUGAUUAAAUAACCCAGUUUUACUAGUUAUUUUCACAAAUAAAUAAAAUAUUAAAUUCAAAAUGGCGGCAACGACACAAAUAUGGCGGCCCCGACGUCCGUUUUGUUGGAACUCUAUUUCAAAAUUUUAACACCAACUGGCUUUUUAAUAUUUAAGAUAAGUUUCAAAAUACACAAUUAUGUUUAUCUGGAUUUAAAAUAAAUUAAUUAUGAAUUAUUUAUUUAUUUAUUUUCAAUCACGUGACUUAUUCUAAGUCUCUGAUUGGUCAACAACAGAGCGCGGAUUUUUUCAUGGACGAUUUGAAUGUUGGUGUGUUGAAAGUGUUGAUAGAAAAACGAUGACAAAAUCAUUCGCAGUAUACUGGUGCAUUAUUUCUUUCCAUGAGCAUCUCAUGUCUGUGCCAAGCUGGAGUGAAAUCCUUCAAAAAUAUCACCUGUUUUAGAAUUGAAGAAAAAUGAAGAGAAGGUUGAAAUUGCAAGCAUAUUUCAAAUGAAGACUCAGACGACUACCAGUGCAGGCCAUUGAGG